GAAAUGCGAUAAGUAAUGUGAAUUGCAGAAUUCAGUGAAUCAUCGAAUCUUUGAACGCACAUUGCGCCGCCAGUAUUCUGGCGGGCAUGCCUGUUCGAGCGUCAUUUCAACCAUCAAGCCCCCGGCUUGUGUUGGGGACCUGCGGCUGCCCGCAGGCCCUGAAAAACAGUGGCGGGCUCGCUGUCACACCGAGCGUAGUAGCAUACAUUCUCGCUCAGGGCGUGCUGCGGGUUCCGGCCGUUAAACGACCUUCAUAACCCAAGGUUGACCUCGGAUCAGGUAGGAAGACCCGCUGAACUUAAGC
rnacentral:misc_RNA from 1 species